rnacentral:rRNA from 1 species
AUCGUAACUCCUACGGGAGGCAGCAGUGGGGAAUCUUCCGCAAUGGGCGAAAGCCUGACGGAGCAAUGCCGCGUGAGUGAAGAAGGCCUUCGGGUUGUAAAACCCUGUCCUUGUCGAAGAGAGAGAGUUGUAGUAACUUACAAUUUUAGGACGGUAGACAAGGAGGAAGCCCCGGCUAACUAUGUGCCAGCAGCCGCGGUAAAACAUAGGGGGCAAGCGUUGUCCGGAAUCACUGGGCGUAAAGGGCGCGCAGGCGGUAAAUUAAGUCAGGUGUGAAAGUUCGGGGCUCAACCCCGUGAUUGCACCUGAUACUGAUAAACUAGAGUGUUGGAGAGGUAAGUGGAAUUCCUAGUGUAGCGGUGGAAUGCGUAGAUAUUAGGAGGAACACCAGUGGCGAAGGCGACUUACUGGCCAAUAACUGACGCUGAGGCGCGAAAGCGUGGGGAGCAAACAGGAUUAGAAACCCGUGUAGUCCUAGAGC